AAGCCGUAACAAGGUUUCCGUAGGUGAACCUGCGGGAGGAUCAUUAAUAAAUGGCGAAAGCUUUCUAUUAUCCAUAACACCUGUGAACUAUUUGCCUUCGGGCACCAAACCAAACAUAAUGUAAUGAAUGUAAUCUACUAUAAUAAAUAUAA
rnacentral:misc_RNA from 1 species